UACGGAGGGUGCGAGCGUUGCUCGGAAUGACUGGGCGUAAAGGGCGCGUAGGCGGUUUGUACAGUCAGGUGUGAAAUUCCCGGGCUCAACCUGGGGGCUGCACUUGAUACGUAUGGACUGGAGUGGGGAAGAGGGUCGUGGAAUUCCCAGUGUAGAGGUGAAAUUCGUAGAUAUUGGGAAGAACACCGGUGGCGAAGGCGGCGACCUGGUCCUUGACUGACGCUGAGGCGCGAAAGCGUGGGGAGCAAACAGG
rnacentral:rRNA from 1 species